AAUUGAGCCUGACCAGAUAUGGACCAAUCAAGAAUAGGAGAGAGAAACAGUCAACAAAAAGGAAAAAGGAAACUCGAAACCUCCUCUUCUCGAUCGCAGACUGCGAUUUCCCCCUCCCUUUCCCCGAUCAGAUUUCCGGCCACCAAACCGACGAAGCUAGGUGGCGAUCGACUUCGACCUCAGUUCCGGUCUCCCUUUCGCCGAUUGUAGCUUGACUAGGACGAAUAGAUGCUCUCUAUCAUGUGGUGACGCUAGCCUCCUCAGACCUGCUUUUCCGACUUCCGGCGAGUCCAAAUCGGCAAGACUGCUAUUGGGAUGCUCCUCUCUUGUCGCUGACUAUUUCCUUCUCACCGAACAGACCUCCAAUAGCGCAAAUCGAAGCUGUGAGGAUUAGAUAGCUUCCCUUCUUUGAUUUUCCGGCAAGCCAAGCUCUUUCCGGUAGUUUCUUUCGCUAAGGAAUCUUGGUUACUGCCUCUAUAUUAGCCAGAAGCUCUGUAUCCUUUCCUCUAUAGAGCUAGGUAGAAUAAAGUUUAGUUGAAUUAUUGGCUCUUCUUAACUGAAUUUUCUUAUUAUUGUAUAUUUUGUAGAGAUCCGCAAUUACAUUAGGAAAGUAAUAUAUGUAAUAAGAUAUAGACAUGGCCAAAAUCCGGUUUUAGGAGCCGGAACUGUCGGUUUGCAAUCGGUCCGAACCGGAACCGGAACCAGAACCGGUCGGAAUCGGAAUCGUAGGCCUACGGUUUGGUUCCGGUUCCACCAUUUUUGGAACCGUGAACCGGCGGUUUCAAGAACCGGCUGGAAUCGGAUAGAACUGUCGAUUUUCUGACUGGUUCAAAUCGGCGGUUCCAGCAUGUAGCAGCUUUUUUUUUUUAAAAAUUUUUUUGUGAAAUCCCCAAUUACCCCUCCUAACAGCUAUAAACGGCUAUAUAACGGUUAGUUUUAAGGGUAUUUGUGGAAAAAUAAUUUUUUAGAUUUUUUAUAAAUACCUCAUUCCAUUUACAA